rnacentral:rRNA from 1 species
GAAACCCAGUGUGUUUCGACACACUAUCAUUAACUGAAUCCAUAGGUUAAUGAGGCGAACCGGGGGAACUGAAACAUCUAAGUACCCCGAGGAAAAGAAAUCAACCGAGAUUCCCCCAGUAGCGGCGAGCGAACGGGGAGGAGCCCAGAGCCUGAAUCAGUGUGUGUGUUAGUGGAAGCGUCUGGAAAGGCGCGCGAUACAGGGUGACAGCCCCGUACACAAAAAUGCACAUAUUGUGAGCUCGAUGAGUAGGGCGGGACACGUGGUAUCCUGUCUGAAUAUGGGGGGACCAUCCUCCAAGGCUAAAUACUCCUGACUGACCGAUAGUGAACCAGUACCGUGAGGGAAAGGCGAAAAGAACCCCGGCGAGGGGAGUGAAAAAGAACCUGAAACCGUGUACGUACAAGCAGUGGGAGCCUCUUUAUGGGGUGACUGCGUACCUUUUGUAUAAUGGGUCAGCGACUUAUAUUCUGUAGCAAGGUUAACCGAAUAGGGGAGCCGAAGGGAAACCGAGUCUUAACUGGGCGUUAAGUUGCAGGGUAUAGACCCGAAACCCGGUGAUCUAGCCAUGGGCAGGUUGAAGGUUGGGUAACACUAACUGGAGGACCGAACCGACUAAUGUUGAAAAAUUAGCGGAUGACUUGUGGCUGGGGGUGAAAGGCCAAUCAAACCGGGAGAUAGCUGGUUCUCCCCGAAAGCUAUUUAGGUAGCGCCUCGUGAAUUCAUCUCCGGGGGUAGAGCACUGUUUCGGCAAGGGGGUCAUCCCGACUUACCAACCCGAUGCAAACUGCGAAUACCGGAGAAUGUUAUCACGGGAGACACACGGCGGGUGCUAACGUCCGUCGUGAAGAGGGAAACAACCCAGACCGCCAGCUAAGGUCCCAAAGUCAUGGUUAAGUGGGAAACGAUGUGGGAAGGCCCAGACAGCCAGGAUGUUGGCUUAGAAGCAGCCAUCAUUUAAAGAAAGCGUAAUAGCUCACUGGUCGAGUCGGCCUGCGCGGAAGAUGUAACGGGGCUAAACCAUGCACCGAAGCUGCGGCAGCGACACUAUGUGUUGUUGGGUAGGGGAGCGUUCUGUAAGCCUGUGAAGGUGGCCUGUGAGGGUUGCUGGAGGUAUCAGAAGUGCGAAUGCUGACAUAAGUAACGAUAAAGCGGGUGAAAAGCCCGCUCGCCGGAAGACCAAGGGUUCCUGUCCAACGUUAAUCGGGGCAGGGUGAGUCGACCCCUAAGGCGAGGCCGAAAGGCGUAGUCGAUGGGAAACAGGUUAAUAUUCCUGUACUUGGUGUUACUGCGAAGGGGGGACGGAGAAGGCUAUGUUGGCCGGGCGACGGUUGUCCCGGUUUAAGCGUGUAGGCUGGUUUUCCAGGCAAAUCCGGAAAACCAAGGCUGAGGCGUGAUGACGAGGCACUACGGUGCUGAAGCGACAAAUGCCCUGCUUCCAGGAAAAGCCUCUAAGCAUCAGGUAACAUCAAAUCGUACCCCAAACCGACACAGGUGGUCAGGUAGAGAAUACCAAGGCGCUUGAGAGAACUCGGGUGAAGGAACUAGGCAAAAUGGUGCCGUAACUUCGGGAGAAGGCACGCUGAUAUGUAGGUGAAGCGACUUGCUCGUGGAGCUGAAAUCAGUCGAAGAUACCAGCUGGCUGCAACUGUUUAUUAAAAACACAGCACUGUGCAAACACGAAAGUGGACGUAUACGGUGUGACGCCUGCCCGGUGCCGGAAGGUUAAUUGAUGGGGUUAGCGGUAACGCGAAGCUCUUGAUCGAAGCCCCGGUAAACGGCGGCCGUAACUAUAACGGUCCUAAGGUAGCGAAAUUCCUUGUCGGGUAAGUUCCGACCUGCACGAAUGGCGUAAUGAUGGCCAGGCUGUCUCCACCCGAGACUCAGUGAAAUUGAACUCGCUGUGAAGAUGCAGUGUACCCGCGGCAAGACGGAAAGACCCCGUGAACCUUUACUAUAGCUUGACACUGAACAUUGAGCCUUGAUGUGUAGGAUAGGUGGGAGGCUUUGAAGUGUGGACGCCAGUCUGCAUGGAGCCGACCUUGAAAUACCACCCUUUAAUGUUUGAUGUUCUAACGUUGGCCCGUAAUCCGGGUUGCGGACAGUGUCUGGUGGGUAGUUUGACUGGGGCGGUCUCCUCCUAAAGAGUAACGGAGGAGCACGAAGGUUGGCUAAUCCUGGUCGGACAUCAGGAGGUUAGUGCAAUGGCAUAAGCCAGCUUGACUGCGAGCGUGACGGCGCGAGCAGGUGCGAAAGCAGGUCAUAGUGAUCCGGUGGUUCUGAAUGGAAGGGCCAUCGCUCAACGGAUAAAAGGUACUCCGGGGAUAACAGGCUGAUACCGCCCAAGAGUUCAUAUCGACGGCGGUGUUUGGCACCUCGAUGUCGGCUCAUCACAUCCUGGGGCUGAAGUAGGUCCCAAGGGUAUGGCUGUUCGCCAUUUAAAGUGGUACGCGAGCUGGGUUUAGAACGUCGUGAGACAGUUCGGUCCCUAUCUGCCGUGGGCGCUGGAGAACUGAGGGGGGCUGCUCCUAGUACGAGAGGACCGGAGUGGACGCAUCACUGGUGUUCGGGUUGUCAUGCCAAUGGCACUGCCCGGUAGCUAAAUGCGGAAGAGAUAAGUGCUGAAAGCAUCUAAGCACGAAACUUGCCCCGAGAUGAGUUCUCCCUGACUCCUUGAGAGUCCUGAAGGAACGUUG